UUCAUUGAGAGCUAAUGAAAGACCCCCAGAGUGGGGAGACCCUCACUCAAGUCUGGGGAUAAGCUGACACCCCAAUAAUUCAAGAGAGACC
rnacentral:pre_miRNA from 11 species